GACGAACGCUGGCGGCGUGGAUUAGGCAUGCAAGUCGAACGGUAGGAUACCUUCGGGUAUCUGAGAGUGGCGAACGGGUGAGUAACACGUAGGUGAUCUACCCUCAAGAUUGGGACAACCCAGGGAAACUUGGGCUAAUACCGGAUGAAAGCAGCAGUGAUGUUGUUUGAAAGGUGGCGUAAGCUGCCGUUUGGGGAUGAGCCUGCGCUCUAUUAGUUAGUUGGCGGGGUAAAGGCCCACCAAGGCGAUGAUAGAUAGGCGGCCUUAACGGGUGGUCGCCCACACUGGGAUUGAGAUACGGCCCAGACUCCUACGGGAGGCAGCAGUCGAGAAUAGUCUACAAUGGCCGAAAGGCUGAUAGUGCGACGCCGCGUGAACGAAGAAGCCCUUCGGGGUGUAAAGUUCUUUUAUAUGUGAGCAGUGCUUUCUAUGUGAACAGCAUGGGGAAGAGAUAUUAGCAUAUGAAUAAGCAACGGCUAAACUCCGUGCC
rnacentral:rRNA from 1 species